rfam:Ictidomys tridecemlineatus contig071183, whole genome shotgun sequence.
GGGGUUGUGGCUCAGAGGUUGAGCGCUUGCCUACCAAGCAUGAGGCACUGGGUUUGAUCCUCAGCGCCA